CACACUAAACUUUAAACGGUACCUCUGUGUCUCUGUGUGUGCUGAACAUCUAGAAUUAGGAGUGAGCCAGGCUGCAUCAGCAGAAUCUGUUAUAUGUAAAUAUCAGUAUUUUCUAUUCAGGUGUCAGGAAAAUAGGUAAGACUGCAGUGAAGCGAUGUACCAGAUUAAUCCCUGGCCAAAGAACAGUUCUCCACAGUCACUGUCCACAUGGGUCAGUGGGACCAAGCAGCACUCUGCUAAUGUGUGGACUCUGACCAGCAACAUCCAGCAAGACCCAGACAGCGUUUUCUAUCUCCCAGCUGGAGUUUUUUUGUUUGUCUGUGACUGGAGAGUCAGAUUUUGUUGAGGCUGGAGGAACAGCCUCACACUUGCAGAGGUUAAUACACGCUACUGAUCCCUGAUGGGAGAAUCAUCACCUCUGCCAGCAAAGAAGCCUGGUGGAUGUUUGUUUACAGUCUGAUGAUGGGACAUCAUGCUCUGCAUCUUCAAAGUUUGUCUCUUGAUUAUUCUUCAUACACAGUAAUGUGAAGUAUGCUCAUAUCUAGUAUAACUGGACCAACGUGGUGCUCUUCAUUUAUGGAGGCUGCAGAGUCUGAAUGUUGGAUGUUGUGUAUCUCGUGUUCUCUGGGCUUUGUUGUCCUCAGUCUUUUUGCAGGAUCAGAAAACAAAACCAGGAGGCCUGUAAAUGUUUCUUUUCCAGUUGGAUGAUGAUAAGACUGUGACACGGGAUGCCACCUUUAGUCUUGUGAUGAGGCAAAGCUCAGGAAGAAGUGUGAUUAAAUGGUACCCACAUGUGUGCUGCUGAGAAGGAUGUACAGGGGCACCUGCAGCCAAAUCCAAGCCUCCUCAGCAGCUUCAGGUCUGUCAGCGUGCUGAGGUCACAGAAACAAGAAAAGCAGCUUCAGACUUCAGAGUGUUGUUUACAGUUUUCUGUCAUCAUGAUCUCCCCUGAAGUUUAUCACUAUUACCCAAGCA